rnacentral:rRNA from 1 species
CUUCGGACCUUAGCGGCGAAUGGGUGAGUAACACGUACUCAACGUACCUCUUAGAUUGGGAUAGCGAACGGAAACGUUCGAUAAUACCAAAUACUUAUUAGUUUCGCAUGAAACUUAUAUAAAAGGAGCCUUUAAAGCUCCGCUGAGAGAUCGGGGUGCGCAACAUUAGCUAGUUGGUGAGGUAACGGCCCACCAAGGCGAUGAUGUUUAGCGGGGUUGAGAGACUGAACCGCCACACUGGGACUGAGAUACGGCCCAGACUCCUACGGGAGGCAGCAGUAGGGAAUAUUCCACAAUGAGCGAAAGCUUGAUGGAGCGACACAGCGUGCAGGAUGAAGGUCCUAUGGAUUGUAAACUGCUGUGGUAAGGGAAGAAAAAGUCAUAGAGGAAAUGCUAUGACAUUGACGGUACCUUAUUAGAAAGCAACGGCUAACUAUGUGCCAGCAGCCGCGGUAAUACAUAGGUUGCAAGCGUUAUCCGGAAUUAUUGGGCGUAAAGCGUCUGUAGGUUGUUUGUUAAGUCUGGCGUCAAAUUUUGGGGCUCAACCCCAAACCGCGUUGGAUACUGGCAAACUAGAGUUGUGUAGAGGUUAGCGGAAUUCCUUGUGAAGCGGUGAAAUGCGUAGAUAUAAGGAAGAACACCAUUUUGGCGAAGGCGGCUAACUGGGCAUAUACUGACACUGAGAGACGAAAGCGUGGGGAGCAAACAGGAUUAGAUACCCUGGUAGUCCACGCCCUAAACGAUGAUCAUUAGCUGAUGGAGAAUUCGUCGGCGCAGCUAACGCAUUAAAUGAUCCGCCUGAGUAGUACGUUCGCAAGAAUAAAACUUAAAGGAAUUGACGGGGAUCCGCACAAGCGGUGGAGCAUGUGGUUUAAUUUGAAGAUACGCGUAGAACCUUACCCACUCUUGACAUCUUCUGCA